AAAGAUGCGAUUGGACUAGGAAAAGUAAUUUCGUAAACGUUACACAGAGAAAAAAGUGAAUGGUGAGAGCUUUUUUAACGAACGCGAUGAAAGUAGCCUAGGAGCAAGUGAAAUGAAGGGGAACUGUGUAAUUUUACUCGGAGAUACCUCCGUUAUCAAAUUGAGAGAUGGGUAGAGUAUGCCCAUAAGUUUAGGUGGUACCGCGAGUUAAUCGUCCUGCAU
rnacentral:ncRNA from 1 species